UGGGGAAUAUUGCACAAUGGGCGGAAGCCUGAUGCAGCGACGCCGCGUGGGGGAUGAAGGCCUUCGGGUUGUAAACUCCUUUCGACAGGGACGAAGCUUUUGUGACGGUACCUGUAUAAGAAGCACCGGAUAACUACGUGCCAGCAGCCGCGGUAAUACGUAGGGUGCGAGCGUUGUCCGGAAUUACUGGGCGUAAAGAGCUCGUAGGUGGUUUGUCGCGUCGUCUGUGAAAUUCCGGGGCUUAACUCCGGGCGUGCAGGCGAUACGGGCUGACUUGAGUGCUGUAGGGGAGACUGGAAUUCCUGGUGUAGCGGUGAAAUGCGCAGAUAUCAGGAGGAACACCGAUGGCGAAGGCAGGUCUCUGGGCAGUAACUGACGCUGAGGAGCGAAAGCAUGGGUAGCGAACAGG
rnacentral:rRNA from 1 species